GAAGUGUUACAUUCCAAAUACAAUUGGUGAAAAGGAUAAAAUUCCAGGAUAAAUCUUUUGAAAAGUGCAAUUGCUGUCAACUCCAAAAGUACAUCCCCUUAGGAUAUAGCUGGGACAGAGAAGUUGCCCAAUCCUGGUCAGUGUCCAUCUGCCAUUCAGUGUCAGUCACCUGUGACCUGCUGACUUUCAUACUUAACCCUUGCUUUUGCCUACUGUUCUACAUUGAGUUCAAAACAAAGUUGGGAAAGGCUUGAAGAAAAUUGCAGGCAAGGAAGCAAACCUGAGAGAGAAAGAUGAUUACAGUGCAAAGGAGGCGGUGUGGCAUCCAGGUACCAUUUGCCAAUAUUACUGAAGGUGACUUGCUCCAGCUUGGCUGAUGUCAGUACACUGAAGUGUUCUAAACUGAGGAACACGGAACAGAUCAGAGGAAAGGUAAUUGCACAGCGUAUCUGGAGCAGAGGGCGCUGCUAUCUGUCAAGGUCUGAAUGCGAAAAUGGUUGGACAGGGGCUGUGGAUAGAGAUUCUGGGUAAGUGAUAGUUCAGGGGCUCUCUACACAGAGAAAAAUCUAUGAAGGGAGACCAUAAAGAGAGAGAAGAUAUCUUAGUGACUAUCAACACUGCUACUUGGGAAAGCACAAGAAAGAGGGAUGGUGAUAGAGAGUUAGGAGAAGGAAGAGCACCGCUGGGACAAAUUCCCCCAAAGAAGAGAUUGUCACUGAUGUUAAAUCCUACUGUGAUCUCAAAGGAAAAGAAAUCACAAAAUUUAAUUGAUGUGUCACUUUAAUGAGAGAUAUAAAGGAAAAUUCUUAAAAACUGAGAUUAUAUAUUGUGUUCCUAAAGGAGAGAUCGAGUGUUGUGAAGUUAUUUAUUUAUGCCAACCAAAAUCCCAUUUGAAUAAAUUUUGGGAGAGAAGAGGCAGAGAGUAAUAUCUUGAUAAAAUAAUUCUAAGAUUCAAAAUAAGUAAAUGAGAAUAAUAUUUUUUAAAAAGACGAGACUUGAGGUGAAGCUUCUCUGUUUAGGUAUUAGAAUAUUAUAAGUGUAUGGUAAUUCAAUUUUUGUUUGAUGUUUACUUAUUUUCGAGGAGAGAGAGAGAGAGUAUGAGCAGGGUAGGAGAGAGAAAGACGGAGACACAGAAUCUGAAACAAGAUCCAGGCUCUGAGCUGUCAGGACAGAGCCCAACACGGGGCCCGAAGUCACAGACUGCACGAUCAUGACCUGAGCCAAAGUUGGACGCUUAACCGACUGAGCCACCCAGGUGCCUCAAGGGUAUGGUAAUUAAAAUGUACAAAUCAAAAGAAAAAACAAGGGUAAAUGAAACAAACUCUAGAAUAUAUAAAAACAAAAUAUUACACAGGAAGUAUCAUGAAUAAAAAUGGGGCAUUAUGCAACACUUAUUUCAGUAAAAUUAAUUUACAGAGAAAAAUAAAAUUAGAGGCUCACAUCUUACACUAAAAUUAAUUCCAGAAUUAAAUAUGAAACAAAAUGUAAAAAAAAAAAAGAAAAAAUAACUGAUUUAUUGGGAUUGUACAAACAACUCUCCAAAUUUAAAAUCGAUGAGAGUGAGUUCUAAAAACAAGAACAAUAGCUGUAAUAUAUAAAAACCAAAAACUAUAGGGGCGCCUGGCUGGCUCAGUCAGUUAAGCACCUGACUCUUGGUUUCGGCUCAGGUCUUAAUCUCUUGAUUUCGUGGGCUCGAACCCCGCAUCAGGCUCCGUGCUAACAGUGCAAAGCCUGCUUGGGAUUCUCUUUCUCUCCCUUGCUCUCUGCCCCUCCCCCACUCACGCUGUCUCUGUCUCUCUCAAAAUAAAUAAAUAAACUUAAAAAAAACUAUAUAUCUAAAAAAAAAAAAAAAUAGCCAAAAUAGCAAAUUGGAUGUGAACAAGACAGAAAGUUAAUUUUAAGAUGAUUACUUAGAAGAAUUCAUAUGAUUUCUGCAUCUGGUCAAGAUGAAGUAACUAGAAUCAAAUUUAUCCUCCCGUUUGAAACAACCAAACAAUAGACAAAAUACAUGGAGUGGUGAUUGGCGAGAACUAGAUAUCAGAUAAUGAAAGGUAAUGAUAACUGAGAAGUGAGAAUUCUUCCCAAACCUAGGUGAGCCCCAUAAUUUACCCCAGCAUACUUCUUCAAGAAAGUUCCCAGACCAUGGCACGGGGAGGGGAAAUUUAAACUCACCCCGGAAAACUUUCCAAGCUGAAAAGAUGUAGCUGAGAGUCAGGGAAGUCAAGGCAGCUGGAACUGGCAGGGCAGAGUACCGAAGAGAAGAGAGAGAACUCAGGAGACGUGCAAAGAGGCUUCCGCAAGAAUUUAGGUGACUACCCAUCAAUGCUUGCAUGUGAGAAAAUACCCAAGACCAGGGAAAGACCCACCCAAAAGAAUUAGAGGUGAUAGUUACCUAUGCACAUAGGGGACUAGGAAUGAUGCUUAUUCCCACCAGCCAGACUAGAAAAACCUCACCGUUCACAGAGCAUUUGCUAUAGCACAUGUCAGAAACUGUAACAGGAUGUGACAUUUUAUUUUAUUUGCAAGCCAACAAGCAGCCAUGAAGGCUGGUGGAAGACACAAGACUCCUAAGCAUGAGAGGAGGAGUGUAUUGAUUAUUUAGAGAAAUCACAGUAGCAAGAGUAUCUGCUGUUUUUCUAACAAUUCUCUGAGUCCCAGUUCCCCCAGGGUGACUCAAAGAAGGCUAGAUGAGCCUUGCACAUGUGGUGGGUUGCCUUAUAGGAGAGAAACUUGGGCUAUUUCCGGUAACAUCGAAAAGUGUGAAACACUUAAGGAUAAAACAUGUGAAAGACCUACCUGUGCACUGAAGAGUACUGAGCAUUGCCGAACAAAUUUAAGGAAGACUCUCCAAAGUGAAGACGUAUACCAUGUUCACAGGACUGGUGUUUUUAAAAGAAGAGGAAGAGACACCAGGGAUACAUGCACGCGGAGAAAAGACCAUGUGAGGACACAUAAGAAGGUGGCCAUUGAUAAGUCAAAGAGAGAUGCCUCAGGAGAAACCACUGUGCUGGCACUUUGCAGCCUCCAGAACUGUGAGAAAAUAAAGCUGGCAGCCAUUCUUGAUGUCGACCAGGAUUCACGCUCCUAGAUGUUGCACAACUUGGAAUACAUUUGAGCUGCAUCUCCUGGAGUGGACGCUGUUUGGAUCGAUGCUAACCCGCAGCUUUGGGAUUUGGGCUGCUGGCCCUUCUUUGUUAGGAGGCAGGAUUUGAAGCCAAUAUUCACAAGAUGAAGUUUGGAUGAAGAGCAACACAAGAGGGUAUAAAACACUGUCACAUUUUUUCAUGCCAGCAAAUAUUUCUUCCUCGUAUUAUUUCUUUAAAUAGCUCUUCACAAUAAGCAACCUCGGGGAAUAACAAGUCCAAAAAGAAGAACCGGGCCAAGCACAGCUCCUAACAGAAAUUCAGCGCAUGAUUUAUUAAUAAGACCCUGUUUGCUCUGAGUCGUUUUAUCUCCCAAAGAGUACGUAGUAGGAACAGUUGAGCCUGCAAGGAGAGGGUGUUCCUGUGCCUUUCCUGGAGUACAGCGACUGGCUACUGUUGAGAAUCUUCGUGUGCGGUUACCGAUGCAAUGUGUGCCUGAAGUCACUGCCUGAUCCUGCCACAUAGGGAAGUGUGAGGAAAUGUCAGCCCAUGGCCAAGUCUCUGCGUCACCACGGCCCCGGAUAGCAGUCUCCCCAAGCUUUGCUCAUUUUUCAAAAUGCCCAAGGAGAGCGAGGAGAGAAAACAAGAAUCAGGGAAAAGGAUGCCUGGAAUAAUCUAACUUUCAGUUACGUCAUAUUACAACCCAUAAUAAUAUAAGUGUAAAGGACAAUGCAAUUCCUCCAGGAGAUUAAUAGGCAUUUGAGGGCCUUUUAAGAAAAGAAUAAUGUUUGAUCUAAUGCCCCCAAACAGUAGGAGAUACUGUAACUCAGUGUUGGGCCAAAUGCUUCAUCUGAGCUCUGCACACUUCACAGUGAGUCUCUGACUUUUACAUUAAUUUCCACGAAUGGACACGCAGAUCCCGUGUUUUAAAUCCUCGUGCAGACCCGGAUGAAAGCGAACACUAGCUCCUAGAGUCACCUAGUCCUUCUCUGUGGAAUCAUUUCUAAUUGAAUGUUAAGAUCAAAGUUUAAGUUUAUAAGAAAGAAAAACAAGUGCAGAUAAAUAGUUAUUAUCUGACACCCUUAUGAAAAUUCAUGACCUGCACUUUUAUCGGAGACCUUAUAAGAAUUCUAAUUGUGAAGUAUGCGGAGCCAUUAAAUGGCGAGUACGCUUCAGUCUCUUGAUAAGAAGUGAGUUAAAUAAUUGUCCUGUUUAACUUGUGCUUGUUAACCUUUAAGGUCAACUAGUUUGAACAUACGUUUAAUGAAAUCCUGGAGCCAGAAUUUAUGAUACUGCUGCCGAAUGCUAAAUUGGACAAUUUACAUAAGCAGGACAUUAACCUUCUGAGCACUAAAUAGCAUUUUAGCACUUAGCCGCUGGGGACAAUAAGGGACAUGUUCUAUAUAUUUGUGAUUAGCUUGCCUGGAAACUCUCAUGAUGACCAAUUGGCCUACCAAGUUUAGCAGCAUAAUUAAAUGAAUGGACUCAACCUAAGUAAAUUAUCAGUGCUGUGUACAGUAUAUCAUUAUAGUCCAAAGGAAAAAAAAAAGAUAUGAAUAAUUUAAUAAUACAUUACUAAUUUAUCAAUGCUAAGUGACUUUGAGGAGGCUCUUUGCAGUUCAUUGUUUUAAAUUUGAUAUUUGAUUUAUUGCUCGCGUGAUUAAAAUUGAGCCUGUUUCAUUUCUUACUAGAAGUAUAUAGAAGCAGUAGAUUUUAUUUUAUUUCAUUUCAUCUCAUUUCAUUUUAUUGAGGUGAGACUGGUGGUGUUUCCUGCUUUGGUGAUAUUACAAAAUACCUCCUACUGUGCACUGAUUAGCAGCCAUAUUGCUUGCCACUAGAGAAACAAUAGUUUCAGAAUAUUUUCCAAAGGACGCAAAUGAUUACAUGGCCCUCUUCUUAUUGGCCAGUGUGAUCUCAGCUGUGAAAGCUUUUCUAGAGAGCAUGAGCGGCGAAGAGCAGGAGAGAGAGAGAAUCUCAAGCAGACUCCACACUCAGCGCAGGGCCCAACGGGGGGCUCAAUACCUCAACCCUGAGAUCAUGACCUGACCCAAAAUCAAGAGUCAGACUCUCAACUGACUAAGGCACCUGGGCACCCCUGUCCUAUUAUUUUUCUUGGUAAACCAAACAGACAAACUGCA